rnacentral:lncRNA from 1 species
UCCCAGAGCAGGUCAUAUUCUCAAGAAAAUUACUGACUCAAUAGGUCUUAUCUGAUUGAUUGAUUUAAAUAGCAUUAUUGUUUAGAUUGCUUUCAUAUGGUUUGUUAAACAGUAAAGUAAAACAUAUAAAUUAUGAUGCUGUUGAUGAGGUAGAUCAGCUUUCUUAGAAAUACAAUGUCUGUGGCAAGUUUGUUUCUGGCAUUUGCUUUGAUGUGCCCAUGAAAUUAUAACCAGUAGGAGAAAAAAAAAAGUUAUUUAUUGUUGUUGCUUUUAUAGUGGAGACUGGAGUCUUGCUAUGCUUUCCAGGCUGGUUUUGAACUCCUAACCUCAAGUGAUUUUCCUGCCUCAGCCUCCCAAAGUGCUGGGAUUACAGGCAUGAUCCACCCGGCCCUGCUGUUUUUAAGAAAUUACAAGUUAAAUCUUGUAUCAGUGAACAAGAUAAGGGAUCAUGAUGUGGAGCUGCACUUCCUGGUUCCAAAUCCUGGCUCCUCCCCUCAUCCCUGGCCUCCAGGACCACGGUGCAAGCCCUCAGCAGAGGAGGCCGGAGCGCCUUUUGAUUUCGGGAGACUGGCCCAGGAACUCUAG